AUCAAGCGAAUGGCAUAUACAGAGUGUUUCAAGAUUGCUUUCGUCCAAGGUCUCAAUAUACAAAUAUACAGCGCUUUCCAAAGUGUAGUUUAUCAUGGUUUUAUACGAAGAGUAUGUGGUUGUGACAUUUUUUAAAUCUAUUGUGUAAUUUCGAGGAUAAUAGAAGAGUUUAUGUAAUCUAACGCCAAUGGACAGCAUCGUACAGACCAAGCAAUUUGAAGAUGUUGGAUAAUAUUUCAUCAAAUUAUAAAAUGUAUUCAGAUAAAAGGUUUUAUACAAGAGAUUCAUUUUGUAUAAAUCAUGAUCGACAAAUUUACUUGAAAGAGAGUUUCUACGAUCUAACGCUAGUGGACAGCACCGUACAGACCAAGCAAUUUGAAGAUGGAUAACAUUUCAAUGUCAUCAAAUCGUAAAAUGUAUUCAGUUAUCCAGAACGUGCAUGUCUACAAGACAUUUUCAGAAGACAUUCCGAAGAAGUCGUAUUGUUUUAAAAAUGUUUUCGAGAAUAUCUUCUGGACGUUUUUUCGAUGCAUGCUGUCUGAGUGCACAUACGUAUAUAAUUAUAUAAUACUCUAAAUAUAUAAUUAGAAAUGUUGACAACAUAUGAUGUAGCUGCUUAUCAACAUCCAUAGGUCACGAGUAAACAAAUUGAUACAAAUCUCAUAAAAAUAA